rnacentral:tRNA from 1 species
GGAGAGGUGGCAGAGCGGUCGAAUGCAGCAUCCUGCUAAGAUGUUGACUCUUUACGGGGUCCGAGGGUUCGAAUCCCUCCCUCUCCGCCA